UACGUAGGGUGCGAGCGUUGUCCGGAAUUAUUGGGCGUAAAGAGCUCGUAGGCGGUCUGUCGCGUCAGCUGUGAAAACCCGCGGCUUAACUGUGGGCUUGCAGCUGAUACGGGCGGGCUAGAGUUCGGUAGGGGAGACUGGAAUUCCUGGUGUAGCGGUGAAAUGCGCAGAUAUCAGGAGGAACACCGGUGGCGAAGGCGGCUCUCUGGACCGAGACUGACGCUGAGGCGCGAAAGCGUGGGGAGCAAACAGG
rnacentral:rRNA from 1 species